GACGAACGCUGGCGGCGUGCUUAACACAUGCAAGUCGAACGGAAAGGCCCUGCUUUUGUGGGGUGCUCGAGUGGCGAACGGGUGAGUAACACGUGAGUAACCUGCCCUUGACUUUGGGAUAACUUCAGGAAACUGGGGCUAAUACCGGAUAGGAGCUCCUGCUGCAUGGUGGGGGUUGGAAAGUUUCGGCGGUUGGGGAUGGACUCGCGGCUUAUCAGCUUGUUGGUGGGGUAGUGGCUUACCAAGGCUUUGACGGGUAGCCGGCCUGAGAGGGUGACCGGCCACAUUGGGACUGAGAUACGGCCCAGACUCCUACGGGAGGCAGCAGUGGGGAAUAUCGCACAAUGGGCGGAAACCUGAUGCAGCAACGCCGCGUGCGGGAUGACGGCCUUCGGGUUGUAAACCGCUUUCGCCUGUGACGAAGCGUGAGUGACGGUAAUGGGUAAAGAAGCACCGGCUAACUACGUG
rnacentral:rRNA from 1 species